AAAAGAAACCAACAGGGAUUACCUUAGUAACGGCGAGUGANGCGGUAAUAGCUCAAAUUUGAAAUCUGGUCUUUGACCCGAGUUGUAAUUUGUAGAGGAUGUUUUGGGUAUCGCUGCAGCUUAAAUUUCUUGGAACAGAAUGUUAGAAAGGGUGAAAAUCCCGUCUGGAGCUGUGGUAGAGCCUAUGUAAAACUCCUUCAAUGAGUCGAGUUGUUUGGGAAUGCAGCUCAAAAUGGGUGGUAAAUUUCAUCUAAAGCUAAAUAUUAUGGAAUGACCGAUAGCGCACAAGUAGAGUGAUCGGAAGAUGAAAAGCACUUUGAAAAGAGAGUUAAACAGUAUGUGAAAUUGUAUAUAGGGAAGCGCUUGCAACCAGACUUGUGUUUUGCGGUUCCCCCUUGCUUUUGCUUGGGCUACUCCGUUCUAUCCAGGCCAAUAUCGGUUUUGAGGGUUGGUUAAAGGCUCUAGGAAUGUACCUACCUCUCGGGGUAGACUUAUAGCCNUAGAGUGUCAUGCAGCCUCUCGGGACCGAGGUACGCG
rnacentral:rRNA from 1 species